AUUAAGUAAAUAAAAAAAGAGCAUUUGGUGGAUGCCUUGGCGUUAGAAGGCGAUGAAGGACGUGAUACGCUGCGAUAAGCUUCGGGGAGCUGCGAAUAAGCUUUGAUCCGAAGAUUUCCGAAUGGGGAAACCCACUUAUUUAUAAGUAUUGCAUAGUGAAUACAUAGCUAUGUGAGGCAAACCCAGUGAACUGAAAUAUCUCAGUAGCUGGAGGAAAGGACAUCAACAGAGACUCCGUUAGUAGUGACGAGCGAACGCGGACCAGGCCAGUAGCUUAAAAGUAAAAACUAGAAUAAUCUGGAAAGAUUAGCCAUAGAGGGUGAUAGCCCCGUAUAGGUAAAAAGCUUUUAAGUUCUCGAGUAAGGCGGGACACGUGAAAUCCUGUCUGAAUAUGGGGGGACCACCCUCCAAGCCUAAGUACUCUCUAACGACCGAUAGUGAACAAGUACCGUGAGGGAAAGGUGAAAAGAACCCCGACAAGGGGAGUGAAAUAGACCUGAAACUGAAUGCUUACAAGCAGUCGGAGCAGACUUGUUCUGUGACGGCGUACCUUUUGUAUAAUGGGUCAGCGACUUAGUUUAUCGAGCAAGCUUAAGCCGUUAGGUGUAGGCGUAGCGAAAGCGAGUCUUAAUAGGGCGCAACAAAGCUUUGUGCUUUUUUAGUUCGAUGAAUUAGACCCGAAACCGGGUGAUCUAGCCAUGGCCAGGCUGAAGGUGGAGUAAUAUCCGCUGAAGGGCCGAACCCACUAAUGUUGAAAAAUUAGGGGAUGAGCUGUGGUUAGGGGUGAAAGGCCAAUCAAACUCGGAUAUAGCUGGUUCUCCGCGAAAUCUAUUUAGGUAGAGCGUUAUAGCGAUUACCAUCGAAGGUAGAGCACUGGAUGAGCUAGGGGGUCAUACAGACUUACCAAACUCAACCAAACUCCGAAUGUCGAUGAGUACAGCAUAGCAGACAGACCAUGGGUGCUAAGGUCCAUGGUCAAGAGGGAAACAGCCCAGACCGCCAUCUAAGGUCCCCAAAUCAUGACUAAGUGUUAAAGGAUGUGAAAGGACCAAAACAACUAGGAUGUUGGCUUAGAAGCAGCCAUCAUUUAAAGAAAGCGUAAUAGCUCACUAGUCUAAAUAAGUUCUCUUGCGCCGACAAUGUAACGGGGCUCAAGUCAUGUACCGAAGAUGCGGAUUUGUAUGUAUGUAAUAUGACAUACAAGUGGUAGCGGAGCGUUCCGUAGGCCUGUGAAGGCAAACUGCGAGGUUUGCUGGAGGUAUCGGAAGUGAGAAUGCUGACAUAAGUAGCGAUAAAGAAUGUGAGAGACAUUCUCGCCGAAAGUCCAAGGGUUCCUUGCUUAAAGUUAAUCUGAGCAGGGUUAGUCGGCCCCUAAGGCGAGGCUGAAAGGCGUAGUCGAUGGGAAUCAGGUUAAUAUUCCUGAACCUGGGGGUGGUGACGAAGAUAGGAAAUUGUCUAGACUUAUUGGAUUGUUUAGGCAAUAAAUAUCUUCCAGGAAAUAGCCCCCUCAUUAAAGACCGUACCCGAAACCGACACAGGUGGACAGGUAGAGUAUACCAAGGCGCUUGAGAGAACGAUGCUGAAGGAACUAGGCAAAUUGCAUCUGUAACUUUGGGAGAAGGAUGACCUAUAAAUGGGCAACCAUUUAUAGGUGGCACAAACUAGGGGGUAGCGACUGUUUAUUAAAAACACAGGGCUCUGCAAAGUCAAUAGACGAAGUAUAGGGUCUGACGCCUGCCCAGUGCCGGAAGAUUAAAAGGAGGGGUGCAAGCUCUGAAUUGAAGUCCCGGUGAACGGCGGCCGUAACUAUGACGGUCCUAAGGUAGCGAAAUUCCUUGUCGGGUAAGUUCCGACCUGCACGAAUGGCGUAACGACUUCCCCACUGUCUCCAGUAUCGACUCAGCGAAAUUGAAUUCUCCGUGAAGAUGCGGAGUUCCCGCGGUUAGACGGAAAGACCCCAUGAACCUUUACUAUAGCUUUGCACUGGUGUUAGAAAUUAGAUGUGCAGGAUAGGUGGGAGACUAUGAAGCAGUGGCGCUAGCCAUUGUGGAGUCACCCUUGAGAUACCACCCUUUUGAUUUUUGAUAUCUAACUGAGCUCCUUGAAUCAGGAGCCGGGACAAUGCAUGGUGGGUAGUUUGACUGGGGCGGUCGCCUCCCAAAGAGUAACGGAGGCGCGCGAUGGUUAGCUCAAGUUGGUCGGAAAUCAACUGUUAGAGUGCAAUGGCAUAAGCUAGCCUGACUGCGAGUCUGACAAGACGAGCAGAGACGAAAGUCGGUCAUAGUGAUCCGGUGGUCCCGAGUGGAAGGGCCAUCGCUCAACGAAUAAAAGGUACUCUGGGGAUAACAGGCUGAUGAUUUCCAAGCGUCCAUAGCGACGAAAUCGUUUGGCACCUCGAUGUCGGCUCAUCACAUCCUGGGGCUGAAGAAGGUCCCAAGGGUUCGGCUGUUCGCCGAUUAAAGUGGUACGUGAGCUGGGUUUAGAACGUCGUGAGACAGUUCGGUCCCUAUCUGCCGUGGGUGUAGGAAGUUUGAGAGGAUCUGCCUUUAGUACGAGAGGACCGAGGUGGACGUACCUCUGGUGGACCAGUUGUCGCGCCAGCGGCAUAGCUGGGUAGCUAAGUACGGAAGGGAUAACCGCUGAAUGCAUAUAAGCGGGAAACCCACCUCAAAACUAGACUUCCCUAUUAGAGCCGUGGAAGACCACCACGUUGAUAGGCCAGGUGUGGAAGCACAGUAAUGUGUGUAGCUAACUGGUACUAAUAGCUCGAUUGAUUUACUUUGCUGAGAUUACAU
rnacentral:rRNA from 1 species